rnacentral:rRNA from 1 species
CAGCCGCGGUAAUUCCAGCUCAAUAGCGUAUAUUAAAGUUGUUGCAGUUAAAAAGCUCGUAGUUGAAUUUCGGGACUAAUAUGUUGGUCGUGCCUCGGUACGUACUGAUAUUUUUGGUUUCUCCCUUCUGACGAACCUUGAUGUCAUUAAUUUGGUGUCUUGGGAAAUCAGGACUGUUACUUUGAAAAAAUUAGGGUGUUUAAAGCAGGCUCACGCUUGAAUACAUUAGCAUGGAAUAAUGAAAUAGGACGUUUGAUUCUAUUUUGUUGGUUUCUAGGAUCGACGUAAUGAUUAAUAGGGAUAGUUGGGGGCAUUAGUAUUCAAUUGUCAGAGGUGAAAUUCUUGGAUUUAUUGAAGACUAACUACUGCGAAAGCAUUUGCCAAGGAUGUUUUCAUUAAUCAAGAACGAAAAGUUAGGGGGAUCGAAGACGAUCAGAUACCGUCGUAGUCUUAACCAUAAACUAUGCCGACUAGGGAUCGGAUGAUGUUAAUUUUAUAAUGACUCAUUCGGCGCCUUACG